rfam:Lyngbya majuscula 3L genomic scaffold scf52047, whole genome shotgun sequence.
CAGGCUAAGGAUUGAGUCCUACGUUGAUUUGGUUAUGACACCUAGGAAUGACCUCCAGUUCCUGGCUCUGUCGCUAAUCAUUAAAGUGAAGGCAAAAUGUGUGGUUAGCCUAACAAGCCAUUUCAACAUUGCC